rnacentral:sRNA from 1 species
GAGGAGUUCGAUAACACGUGCUGCGCAGAGAAGAGGAAAAAACUCUGGGACCUACUGGAGAAGCCCAAUUCCUCUGUGGCUGCCAAGGAAAUGAGAAUUAUAACAGAGGCAACCAUGAAGAGCUGUUAGGAGAUGCCCCUAAUGUAAAGAGCCUAGCCCAGCGCCUGACUCAUGGGAAGCAUUCAG